rnacentral:tRNA from 1 species
GCCCUUAUAGCUCAGUGGUAGAGCGCAUCACUCGUAUAAUGAUGAGGUCCCUUGUUCGAACCAGGGUGGGGGCA